rnacentral:sRNA from 1 species
CCAUGGAGCGAUACAGACUCCAGUCUCGCUCAAGUUAUAACAUAAACGUGUCAUAAAGUGUGUCGAAUUGUCAGUGCUCGCACUGUGCAGCAAUGUUAUCCAAUGACAACGCUAUAAACUAUGCGGAUUCAUAAAACUGUAUCGAGUGGCUCCAAUGAUUGGUCGCAGUGGAGUGCAAGAUCUGUCAAUCUGAGACAGAGGGAGCGGUUCAGCUGGGCGUGAAGAUGGCCGAUGAAUAAUACAACUUGACAUCAUCAUCUACUCCCAACAAUGCGGCGGCAAUUCAUUAAAGAAGUUAACGCGUAUUAUCUUUUUGAGCGCAACAAGAUCGAUGGGGACAUCCCCAGUGCUUCGCGGGGCUGGUGGGCUCCCCCAACAUAUGCAAUGAAGAUGCUUCUCAAUGCUCUUGGCAUCGUGUAUUUAGUAUGCUACAAUUCAUGUGGCUGAGAGUUGCAUCAUCAGGAUGAUCUUCUAGAACAGAUCAAAAAAUAGCUCGUUGACAUCACUUUCGAAUUGACUACCUUUGAGCUGUUAUGGACACCUCGGGCUUAGGGGGUCAACACUAACAUCCUCAAUGGCUAUUCCAGGACGGGAGAGAAUGGGACGAUAAACCUCAAACUCGGCUGGGAUAAGCCUGUCAUACAUAUCUCGUUAACCAACUUCGUCAUAACGGGGCUCAAAUUGAAUCUGGACAAAUCACACACCCCCUUUAUAUUUUCUCUCUCUCUCUUUUUUGAAGAACAUAAUCGCCUUGCAGAGGAUACCUCGGUUCUACGCGGUAUAUCUCCAAUGGCGGCGACACACCCUCGAUGACGAGGGAGAAAUAUGGGAAGAGCAAUAUCCAGAAUGGGCACCGUCCAGGAAAUUCUUUGAAGGAACAUGUGGAGGACUUCUCGGCCCAUGAAGAAAGAAAUGCAUGCGAAGCCAAAUUGAGAAUGAAAUCUUCCUUGUCACCGGAGCCAAUAGGCUAAUUAGUCGAUGGGUAAAAGCCCCAAAAAACUGGAUGAAUUCUCUUCGAGUUUGUAUUUUGAAAAUGCUCUGCAGUCACUGAUCAAGCAUUAUUGGAGGCUCUUUAUUAAUCCCUCUGUUCAUGUACCCUUGCUGCUUCCUUCCUUUUGGGGCCUUGUUUAUUUUUAUCUUUUUUAAAGAAAGAUUCCUUUGUUUUCUUUUGUUGUUUUCUUUUUUGCGCUUAGAAUGAUCAAGGAAUCAAGGAAUA